rnacentral:rRNA from 1 species
UGCAGUCGAACGGCAGCGCGGGGCAACCUGGCGGCGAGUGGCGAACGGGUGAGUAAUAUAUCGGAACGUGCCCUGGAGUGGGGGAUAACGCAGCGAAAGUUGCGCUAAUACCGCAUACGAUCUAAGGAUGAAAGCGGGGGAUUCGCAAGAACCUCGUGCUCCUGGAGCGGCCGAUAUCUGAUUAGCUAGUUGGUGGGGUAAAGGCCUACCAAGGCAUCGAUCAGUAGCUGGUCUGAGAGGACGACCAGCCACACUGGAACUGAGACACGGUCCAGACUCCUACGGGAGGCAGCAGUGGGGAAUUUUGGACAAUGGGCGAAAGCCUGAUCCAGCAAUGCCGCGUGAGUGAAGAAGGCCUUCGGGUUGUAAAGCUCUUUUGUCAGGGAAGAAACGGUGAAGGCUAAUAUCCUUUGCUAAUGACGGUACCUGAAGAAUAAGCACCGGCUAACUACGUGCCAGCAGCCGCGGUAAUACGUAGGGUGCAAGCGUUAAUCGGAAUUACUGGGCGUAAAGCGUGCGCAGGCGGUUUUGUAAGUCUGUCGUGAAAUCCCCGGGCUCAACCUGGGAAUUGCGAUGGAGACUGCAAGGCUAGAAUCUGGCAGAGGGGGGUAGAAUUCCACGUGUAGCAGUGAAAUGCGUAGAGAUGUGGAGGAACACCGAUGGCGAAGGCAGCCCCCUGGGUCAAGAUUGACGCUCAUGCACGAAAGCGUGGGGAGCAAACAGGAUUAGAUACCCUGGUAGUCCACGCCCUAAACGAUGUCUACUAGUUGUCGGGUUUUAAUUAACUUGGUAACGCAGCUAACGCGUGAAGUAGACCGCCUGGGGAGUACGGUCGCAAGAUUAAAACUCAAAGGAAUUGACGGGGACCCGCACAAGCGGUGGAUGAUGUGGAUUAAUUCGAUGCAACGCGAAAAACCUUACCUACCCUUGACNUGUACGGAAGCCACGAGAGAUCGAGGCGUGCUCGAAAGANAGCCGUAACACNGNNGCUGCAUGGCUGUCGUCAGCUCGU